GUCUACGGCCAAGCCACCCUGAACAUGCCCAAUCUCAUCUGAUCUCGGAAGCUAAGCAGGGUUGGGCCUGGUCAGUACUAGGAAGACCAGGUGCUGUAGGCA
rnacentral:rRNA from 1 species